CACUUCAUCAGCUAACGGGCGCCUGGAUGAGAAGCAGACACGGCCACAGAGGGAGCUGGCUCUGCCAUGGGCCUGCUUUCUGGGAGAACCUACGCUCAGCUGGACCUGUCCUGAGUUAGCAAGCAAGAAGCACUGUGGACACAGCCUCCCUGGCCUCUGUUCCAAAGAAGACGGCCCACUUACAACUCUGGAUUCUCGCUGGUGCAGCUGGUGCCCCAGAUUUCUCCCUGGAAUGGGUCUUAGGGAGACCAGCUUCAGCACAGGCUCGUCCCUCCUCCAGGCUCAAGAGGGAGGAUAAGCCAGGGCUGUGAGUAGCUCACUUGGACCUGUCCCAUGGGCUUCUCCCCGUACCUCCGACCUCCUCAUGUGCCUGGUUGGAGCUGCUCCAUAGCUUCCCAAGGAUGAGUGGUGAUGUUCUCUAGCUACCCCGAGCAGCAUCUUGGCUUUCCCUGGAUGCACAGCGGCUGACUGGGACUUGGGACUUUCUCCGAGAUAGACAGUACUGGCAGUCAAAUAUGACUGUCCAGAAGCUUGUGGCCACAGCUGUGCUGGUGGCCCUGGUCUCCCUCAUCCUCAACAAUGCAGCGGCCUUUACCCCCAAUUGGGUGUACCAGACACUGGAGGAUGGACGAAAGCGGAGUGUGGGGCUGUGGAAGUCCUGCUGGCUGGUGGACAGGGGUAAGGGAGGCACAAGCCCUGGGACUCGAACUGGGCAGGUGGACACCCACGACUGUGAGGUGCUAGGAUGGGGCUCUGAAUCAGCAGGUUUCCAGGAGUCCCGAG
rnacentral:lncRNA from 1 species